rnacentral:rRNA from 1 species
CUUAAUUGGGCGUUAAGUUGCAGGGUAUAGACCCGAAACCCGGUGAUCUAGCCAUGGGCAGGUUGAAGGUUGGGUAACACUAACUGGAGGACCGAACCGACUAAUGUUGAAAAAUUAGCGGAUGACCUGUGGCUGGGGGUGAAAGGCCAAUCAAACCGGGAGAUAGCUGGUUCUCCCCGAAAGCUAUUUAGGUAGCGCCUCGUGAAUUCAUCUCCGGGGGUAGAGCACUGUUUCGGCUAGGGGGCCAUCCCGGCUUACCAACCCGAUGCAAACUGCGAAUACCGGAGAAUGUUAUCACGGGAGACACACGGCGGGUGCUAACGUCCGUCGUGAAGAGGGAAACAACCCAGACCGCCAGCUAAGGUCCCAAAGUCAUGGUUAAGUGGGAAACGAUGUGGGAAGGCCCAGACAGCCAGGAUGUUGGCUUAGAAGCAGCCAUCAUUUAAAGAAAGCGUAAUAGCUCACUGGUCGAGUCGGCCUGCGCGGAAGAUGUAACGGGGCUAAACCAUGCACCGAAGCUGCGGCAGCGAACGUAUCACCCAAGACAACUUUACGGAGUUGACGAUUGACGGAGCGAAGCGACGUCAAAGCGUUCAUUAAAGUCGAGUUGGCUUAGGGAUACGUUCGUUGGGUAGGGGAGCGUUCUGUAAGCCUGUGAAGGUGUGUCGUGAGGC